CGCUCGGGCCUCACGUGAGAGGCGAAGUCAGCCCGCCUCCUUUCCCCCACGACUUUCUCCUCACGCUGCCGCCACUACGCCGGAUCAGACAGGCGGGACCAGCCGUCGAACGAGUCGUGUGACGCCAUUCGGAUUCUGUCAAGGUGGCGCAGUCAGGGACCAGGGAGUUAAGAGCAGGAUGUUUUAGCAGAAGAAACAUCUAAACUUCGAAGAUGCCCUAGCAAUGACAACACCCCUGUGAACACAAGAAUGACAGCUGUUUCAGUACUGCAGCUCCCACUUCUUGAAGAUGAAGUAACCUUUAAGAAGAAAAAGAUACAUUACUGGCCAAACAUGCCAACUUAAAAAGCACUCAGCAUUAAUUACAGAGAAAUCUAAGCUGGGAACAGCGAAGCACUACAGAUGUAUCACACGAGGAUAAAGCCUGUCAGCUCAUUUCCAACAGGUCACAGCAUGAGCAUUUUUUUUUUUUUUUUGGCAACACAAAUAGAAAUGCACUUAAAUCAUUAUUUCACAACUAGGAUGGGCGGAGGAGUGGGGGGGACCUACACUACUAGUCCUAUAGCCUUUUAGGCAAACAAUUGUAUAUGAACAUGGAUUAAAAUUAUGCUAAAUUAAAUCUGGAAAGCAAUGUUUGCUUAAACCAAAAGUAAAACAAUAAUGUUUUACACUAUAUAAAUUUAGUGAACUAGUGUCAUACAUACAUACAUCACCAGAAGGGAUAGGAUUCUCAACUUCAUUUUAUGGCAACUGAAACUAUCACCUCUCAUAACCAAUUCUGCAACUCACUUUUAUGUGAAAAAGCCCAAUGAAAGUACUGGGAAUUCUAAUUUAUAAAUAUGCAUAAGUUUGCAAUAUAGAAAAUUAGUGUUUAGUAGUAGUGCUUCUACACUGUUUUGACAAAUGUAUAUAAAAGUAAUAGGAAAGAACAUAAACUAUGCUUGAGCUAGAAGUCCCUGUUUCAGCUCUCAGAUCAGCUGUGAAUUCAGAGCCAAACAAGAUAAGACCUGAAACAUGUUGUUUGGCCCUGUGUUUUGUGGGGAGAGGUAAAGGGAGUAAAUAGUCUGGGACUGCAUCUGAAGAUUAAUUAAAAUAAAUUUAGAUAAAAGUUUUUUAAAGCAGGGGGAUUAAAUCUCCCUCCCUCAUACUGCAGCCCAAUCUGGAUUGGUGGGCCCCUGAAGCUGCUAUUACAAAAAUCAAAAGCAUGCAGGACCAAACACACGUAAAAUCACACGUCUUUUGGCAUUGUGGCCUGGACAAAUCGUUAUUUCUUGUUUUCAGUCCUCCAUCUGUAGAGUUGCCAGGCCACAUCCCAGACUAUCGAGACUGUGUGUGAUUCAUGAACAGUUCCACAGAAGCAUCAGACAAUGUGGUCAGAGCCUCUGUUCUUCUGCUUCCAACUAUCCUUUCUCUGGGGCAAAAUGAAAGCCCUACUUGCUCUAGCAGAUGGGAUGAAAAGAUGGACAAAGAAACCAGAGGAUAAAGCAUGGUAGGAGAAGCUACGACUGCUGAUCAAUCAUAGGACUGUAUCACAGCAAUAAAACCCAAAAGAAGGCAUUGGAAAUGUGAACAGCACCUUACUGACAGGGCAGAGACUGCAAUGUCAAUACACAGGCAAUAUGGAAGCACACUUAUCGGACAUGUAGUGACACUGGAAAGUGCCUAGGACUUGCAGGCUUUACCAAAAAAUGAGUAAGGUGGCAUCUGAUAAAGACUACCCUUUCAUCUGCAAAUCUAGAUCCUUUGAAAUGCAUGUAAGCCAGUUCCCUGAAAACAGGGGCAUUACACAUAGCAAAAACCUGACUAUGUUUUGUUAUAAUUUUAUUAAAUUUAUACCACAAUAAAAGAGCUCUAGGAAUUUCUCAGUUAGUUCAUUAUAUACAAUGAAAGAGGGCCAAAAUAUUAAGACAGAAUUAUAUUGGCAAAACUCCUUUUAAUCUUCUUCUGCGUGAUCCCCACCGCACAUUAAGGUCAUCUGAGGAGGCCCGUCUCCAGUUACCACCAGCUUGUCUGGUGGCGACUCAGAGGCAGGCCUUCUUUAUAGCUGCUCCGGGGCUGUGCAAUGCGCUCCCUGUGGAAAUCCGCAAUUUGAAUUCUCUAUUAGCCUUCAGGGGAGCCCUUAAAACAUAUUUGUUUGGCCUGGCUUUCCAGGGUUUUAAAAUCUGUUUUAAUAUUCUAACCCGAUUUUGGGGCUUUUAAUAAUUGUAAUUGUUUUAAUUGUUGUUUUAAAAUGUUUUUAAAUUGUUAAUUGUUAUAUUGUUUUUAAUUUGUUUUAGCUCUUUAUUGUUUUAGUGGUUUGUUUUAACUGUA